ACGUUGGCGGCGUGCUUAACACAUGCAAGUCGAACGCUGAAGCCCAGCUUGCUGGGUGGAUGAGUGGCGAACGGGUGAGUAACACGUGAGUAACCUGCCCUCUUCUUUGGGAUAACGCCCGGAAACGGGUGCUAAUACUGGAUAUUCACUGAUCUUCGCAUGGGGGUUGGUGGAAAGGUUUUUUCUGGUGGGGGAUGGGCUCGCGGCCUAUCAGCUUGUUGGUGGGGUGAUGGCCUACCAAGGCUUUGACGGGUAGCCGGCCUGAGAGGGUGACCGGUCACAUUGGGACUGAGAUACGGCCCAGACUCCUACGGGAGGCAGCAGUGGGGAAUAUUGCACAAUGGGCGAAAGCCUGAUGCAGCGACGCCGCGUGAGGGAUGACGGCCUUCGGGUUGUAAACCUCUUUCGCUCAUGGUCAAGCCGCAGCUUUGGGUUGUGGUGAGGGUAGUGGGUAAAGAAGCGCCGGCUAACUACGUGCCAGCAGCCGCGGUAAUACGUAGGGCGCGAGCGUUGUCCGGAAUUAUUGGGCGUAAAGGGCUUGUAGGCGGUUGGUCGCGUCUGCCGUGAAAUCCUCUGGCUUAACUGGGGGCGUGCGGUGGGUACGGGCUGACUUGAGUGCGGUAGGGGAGACUGGAACUCCUGGUGUAGCGGUGGAAUGCGCAGAUAUCAGGAAGAACACCGGUGGCGAAGGCGGGUCUCUGGGCCGUUACUGACGCUGAGGAGCGAAAGCGUGGGGAGCGAACAGGAUUAGAUACCCUGGUAGUCCACGCUGUAAACGUUGGGCACUAGGUGUGGGGGCCACCCGUGGUUUCUGCGCCGUAGCUAACGCUUUAAGUGCCCCGCCUGGGGAGUACGGCCGCAAGGCUAAAACUCAAAGGAAUUGACGGGGGCCCGCACAAGCGGCGGAGCAUGCGGAUUAAUUU
rnacentral:rRNA from 1 species